rnacentral:rRNA from 1 species
GACGAACGCUGGCGGCGUGCCUAAUACAUGCAAGUAGAACGCUGAAGGAGUAGCUUGCUUCUCUGGAUGAGUUGCGAACGGGUGAGUAACGCGUAGGUAACCUGCCUGGUAGCGGGGGAUAACUAUUGGAAACGAUAGCUAAUACCGCAUAAUAGUAGAUGUUGCAUGACAUUUGCUUAAAAGUUGCAAUUGCAUCACUACCAGAUGGACCUGCGUUGUAUUAGCUAGUUGGUGGGGUAACGGCUCACCAAGGCGACGAUACAUAGCCGACCUGAGAGGGUGAGCGGCCACACUGGGACUGAGACACGGCCCAGACUCCUACGGGAGGCAGCAGUAGGGAAUCUUCGGCAAUGGACGGAAGUCUGACCGAGCAACGCCGCGUGAGUGAAGAAGGUUUUCGGAUCGUAAAGCUCUGUUGUAAGAGAAGAAAGAGUGUGAGAGUGGAAAGUUCACACUGUGACGGUAUCUUACCAGAAAGGGACGGCUAACUACGUG